rnacentral:tRNA from 1 species
UCUGAUUUAACAUAUUUAAAUGUGAUGGAUUGUAAAUCCAUAAAAAGUUUUUGCUAAUCAGGA